UACAGAGGGGGCAAGCGUUGUUCGGAUUCAUUGGGCGUAAAGGGUGUGUAGGUGGCGCGCUAAGUCGGGUGUGAAAUUUCGGAGCUUAACUCCGAAACUGCAUUCGAUACUGGCGUGCUUGAGGACUGGAGAGGAGACUGGAAUUCAUGGUGUAGCAGUGAAAUGCGUAGAGAUCAUGAGGAAGACCAGUGGCGAAGGCGGGUCUCUGGACAGUUCCUGACACUGAGACACGAAGGCCAGGGGAGCAAACGGG
rnacentral:rRNA from 1 species